AACCCCUUCAAGGAUAUCCGAUAAAAUUGGAACGAUAUAGAGAAAAUUAGCAUAGUCCCGUGCAAGAAUGACGCGCACAAAUCGAGAAAUCGUCUAAAUUUUU